rnacentral:tRNA from 1 species
GGGCGAAUAGCUCAGCUGGGAGAGCACCUGCCUUACAAGCAGGGGGUCACAGGUUCAAGUCCUGUUUCGCCCACCA